rnacentral:rRNA from 1 species
UACGAAGGGUGCAAGCGUUACUCGGAAUUACUGGGCGUAAAGCGUGCGUAGGUGGUGAGUUAAGUCUGUCGUGAAAGCCCCGGGCUCAACCUGGGAAUGGCGAUGGAUACUGGCUCGCUGAGAGUGCGGUAGAGGAGAGUGGAAUUCCCGGUGUAGCAGUGAAAUGCGUAGAGAUCGGGAGGAACAUCAGUUGCGAAGGCGGCUCUCUGGACCAGCACUGACACUGGAGGCACGGAAAGCGUGGGGAGCAAACAGG